rnacentral:lncRNA from 1 species
UAACUCUGUGCAGGACGUGAAAAAGCCUCUCUGUGUGGAAGAUGACAGGGAGCAUCUCCAGGUCCCAGGGAUGAGGCUCGGCUGUGGUUCAGCCCUCAGAACACCUCAGCAUCUCAUUUGCCUGCUGUCCUUUCUCAAGCUGGACUUCCUGAAGAAGCCAUGAUAGGCGAGUAUCUCUGUUGUCCCAGAGCAAGACCACCAACACUCAACAAACGUGCCUGCCUCACCGCAGUCCUUUCAACAAGAAGCCAGCAUCUAUAAAACCAAAAUAUUAAAAUACGGCAGAUGUCAGACAAGCAUUUCUACAAACUUAAAGCUAUGCUUCCAUAACCGUCUGUUGCUUCUGGAGUGAGAAACUGGG